rfam:Citrus clementina cultivar Clemenules unplaced genomic scaffold scaffold_5, whole genome shotgun sequence.
CCGACCUUAGCUCAGUUGGCAGAGCGGAGGACUGUAGUAGCUUAAAAUCCUGAAAGUUAUCCUUAGGUCGCUGGUUCGAAUCCGGCAGGUCGGA